UACGGAGGGUGCAAGCGUUAUCCGGAUUCACUGGGUUUAAAGGGUGCGUAGGUGGGUUGGUAAGUCAGUGGUGAAAUCUCCGGGCUUAACUCGGAAACUGCCGUUGAUACUAUCAAUCUUGAAUCUCGUGGAGGUAAGCGGAAUAUGUCAUGUAGCGGUGAAAUGCUUAGAUAUGACAUAGAACACCAAUUGCGUAGGCAGCUCACUACGGAAAUAUUGACGCUGAGGCACGAAAGCGUGAGGAUCAAACAGG
rnacentral:rRNA from 1 species